rnacentral:rRNA from 1 species
GUUGAACGCUGGCGGCGUGCCUAAUACAUGCAAGUCGAGCGAACAGAUAAGGCGCUCGCUUCUUUUACGUUAGCGACGGACGGGUGAGUCCCACGUGGGUAACCUACAUAUAAGACUGGCAUACCUCCAGGAACCCUGGUCUAAUGCCGGAUAACAUUUAGAAACGCAUGGUUCUAAAGUGAACAAUGGAUUUGCUAUCCCUAAUAGAUGGACCCGCGCCGUAUUAGCUAGUUGGUAAGGUAACGGCUUACCAAGGCAACGAUACGUAGCCGACCUGAGAGGGUGAUCGGCCACACUGGAACUGAGACACGGUCCAGACUCCUACGGGAGGCAGCAGUAGGGAAUCUUCCGCAAUGGGCGAAAGCCUGACGGAGCAACGCCGCGUGAGUGAUGAAGGUCUUCGGAUCGUAAAACACUGUUAGUAGGGAGGAACAAAUGUGUAAGUAACUGUGCACGUCUUGACGGUACCAAAUCAGAAAGCCACGGCUAACUACGUG